rnacentral:rRNA from 1 species
GAUCCUGGCUCAGAUUGAACGCUGGCGGCAUGCUUUACACAUGCAAGUCGAACGGCAGCAUGAGGAGCUUGCUCCUUGAUAGCGAGUGGCGCACGGGUGAGUAAGACAUCGGAACGUGUCCUUUUGUGGGGGAUAACUGUCCGAAAGGACAGCUAAUACCGCAUAAGACCUGAGGGUGAAAGCGGGGGAUCGCAAGACCUCGCGCGAAAGGAGCGGCCGAUGGCCGAUUAG